ACGCUCGACACCUACGGGGGGCAGCAGUGGGGAAUAUUGCACAAUGGGGGAAACCCUGAUGCAGCAACGCCGCGUGAAGGAAGACGGUUUUCGGAUUGUAAACUUCUGUUCUUAGUGAAGAUAGUGACGGUAGCUAAGGAGCAAGCCACGGCUAACUACGUGCUAGCAGCCGCGGUAAUCUGAGCGGGCUGGCAAGGC
rnacentral:rRNA from 1 species